GACGAACGCUGGCGGCGUGCUUAACACAUGCAAGUCGAACGGAAAGGCCCUGCUUUUGUGGGGUGCUCGAGUGGCGAACGGGUGAGUAACACGUGAGUAACCUGCCCUUGACUUUGGGAUGACUUCAGGAAACUGGGGCUAAUACCGGAUAGGAGCUCCUGCUGCAUGGUGGGGGUUGGAACGUUUCGGCGGUUGGGGCUGGACGGGCGGGUUACCAGCUUGUUGGUGGGGGAGUGGCUUACCAAGGCUUUGACGGGUAGCCGGCCUGAGAGGGGGACCGGCGACAUUGGGACUGAGAUACGGACCAGACUCCAAUGGGAGGCAGCAGUGGGGAAUAUUGUACAAUGGGCGGGAGCCUGAUGCAGCAACGCCGCGUGCGGGAUGACGGCCUUGGGGUUGUAAACCGCUUUCGCCUGUGACGAAGCGUGAGUGACGGUAAUGGGUAAAGAAGCACCGACUAACUACGUG
rnacentral:rRNA from 1 species